GGUCCCGCCUGCCCAGUGACUCUUUUAAACGGCCGCGGUAUCCUAACCGUGCAAAGGUAGCAUAAUCACUUGUUCCAUAAAUUGGGACUAGUAUGAACGGCUAAAUGAGGACUAAACUGUCUCUUACGGACAGCCAAUGAAAUUGAUCUUCCAGUACAAAAGCUGGAAUAAACCCAUAAGACGAGAAGACCCUGUGGAGCUUAAAAGUCAAACCCAUCAAACAUGGGUUUUGAGUCUUUAGUUGGGGCGACUUUGGAGUACAAAAAAACCUCCAAAAACCAGCCAUCAAGGUCAACACACCAAGACAGCUACACUAGACCCAGCAACCUCCACCCAAGUUGUCUGACCAAUGAACCAAGUUACCCCAGGGAUAACAGCGCCAUCCCCUUCUAGAGUCCCUAUCGACAAGGGGGUUUACGACCUCGAUGUUGGAUCAGGACACCCCAAUGGUGCAGCCGCCAUUAAAGGUUCGUUUGUUCAACGAUUAAAGUCCUA
rnacentral:rRNA from 1 species